AGAAUGUAUAGCAAUAGCUAAUUGUAUUAACAUAAUAGUUAUUACAAUCUCGAGUAAAUCGAAUAAAAUUCUAGGUAGAUUUAUGAUAAUGACAUUAUCUAUCUAUAUGUCUUGACCAAAUUACGUGCCAGCAGUCGCGGCAAUACGUAAAAGACUAGUGUUAUUCAUCUUUAAUUGGUUUAAAGCGUACCUAGACGGUAAUUAUAGCCUAAAUAAGGUACUUUUUUACUAGAGUUAUAUGUAAGGGUGUAUUAAAGUACUGUUGCGUUUAGAGAUGAAAUUCUUUGACACCAGAUAAUUGGCACAAGUAUAGGCGAAAGCAUCACUUUAUGUAAUAACUGACGUUGACGGACGAAGGCUAUGUGUCGCGAACAGGAUUAGGUACCCUAGUAGUCUUAGCAGAAAACUAUGAAUGUCAUAGGUUAGAUUUUAUUUAGUCUAUAAACGAAAGUGUAAGCAUUCCACCUCAAGAGUAAUUUGGCAACAUUGGAACUGAAAUCAUUAGACCGUUUCUGAAACCAGUAGUGAAGUAUGUUGUUUAAUUAGAUAAUCCGCAAAAAACCUUACCACAACUUGAAUAUAUAUUUACAAGCGUUGCACGGCUGUCUUCAGUUAAUGUCGUGAGAUUUUGGUUUGGUCCAUUUAAUUAACGUAAACCCUUACUCUAUUUUUAAAUAGAGUUUUCCACCGCUAUAUUGGAUGUGAUAAGAGGGACUAAGACAAGUCAUCAUGAC
rnacentral:rRNA from 1 species